GGCGGGACUGAAAAUAAGGUGUGAUAUUCUUCAAUUGCUGCCAUCGUGAUACUUCUAAAAUUAAGAGAGAAGAAGGAAAUAUAAAUAAUACACUUUGUUGUCUUUAUCAUCACUUUAAAUUACAUAAUCAUAAAUGAAAGGUUCCUGAACUUUGGAAAAGAAUUUUUUUUUUGGGUUCAAAUACAAUAUUUAAAUGACAUCUUUUGGAAUAUCUCCUAUCAUAAGGUAUAUUUUCACAUUUAUUUAUUUUAGCUUCUUGGACAAUAACUCAUUCUCCUUUGUAGGGCAUUUUCGUACUCUUUGGGAUCUGGGAUGCAAAAUCAGGGAGAUUACCAACAUACUGACAUACAUGAUUAAUGCACUUGAUAAUUAAUAACUUGUUCAAAGAUUUUGGACAAUCGUCAUCAAUUACACAUUGAAUAUGUUCUGUAAUGAAAAGAGAUGAUAACAUAAUGUUACUAAAACAUUAUCAAAUAUUAUGUACGGAACUAUGAAGUAAAGAAGAAAAUGUGAAAAGGAUAAAAAAAAAAAAAAAAAAAAGGCUUACCACCACGGAUUUUCGCUGGUAAAAUAAUUAAGAAAAUAAAUAAAUUCAUAGUAUAAAAACACUUGAGAAUUUCG
rnacentral:lncRNA from 1 species